rnacentral:tRNA from 1 species
GCCGGAGUAGCUUAAUGGCAAAGCAUGCGCCUGAAGAGCGUAUGAACGCAGUUCGAUUCUGCGCUCCGGCA